GGACGAACGCUGGCGGCGUGCCUACUACAUGCAAGUCGAACGCUGAAGGAGGAGCUUGCUUCUCUGGAUGAGUUGCGAACGGGUGAGUAACGCGUAGGUAACCUGCCUGGUAGCGGGGGAUAACUAUUGGAAACGAUAGCUAAUACCGCAUAAUAGUAGAUGUUGCAUGACAUUUGCUUAAAAGGUGCAAUUGCAUCACUACCAGAUGGACCUGCGUUGUAUUAGCUAGUUGGUGGGGUAACGGCUCACCAAGGCGACGAUACAUAGCCGACCUGAGAGGGUGAUCGGCCACACUGGGACUGAGACACGGCCCAGACUCCUACGGGAGGCAGCAGUAGGGAAUCUUCGGCAAUGGACGGAAGUCUGACCGAGCAACGCCGCGUGAGUGAAGAAGGUUUUCGGAUCGUAAAGCUCUGUUGUAAGAGAAGAACGAGUGUGAGAGUGGAAAGUUCACACUGUGACGGUAUCUUACCAGAAAGGGACGGCUAACUACGUG
rnacentral:rRNA from 1 species